rnacentral:lncRNA from 1 species
CAGACUACAAGAAAGAACCCCAAAUACAAAGUCAUAAAACAGGGAGACAAAUACUUUAUCAAGCCGAAAACUAGACAAUUCUAAAACAAGAAGAAAGAUAGUGAAGUAUGCAAGAGAGGGAGGAUACACCAAUGCACUAAAUCUGAAACAACUGAUCCGAAGCCGACCACACCCUUACGCAAAGAACAUAGGAGGAGCUGCAGCAAGCCG